rnacentral:rRNA from 1 species
UACGGAGGGUGCAAACGUUGCUCGGAAUCAUUGGGCGUAAAGCACACGUAGGUGGCCUGUUAAGUCGGGUGUGAAGUCCCUGGGCUCAACCCAGGAAGUGCACUCGAAACUGGCAGGCUUGAGUACUGAAGAGGGUCGCGGAAUUCCCGGUGUAGAGGUGAAAUUCGUAGAUAUCGGGAGGAACACCAGUGGCGAAGGCGGCGACCUGGGCAGAUACUGACACUGAGGUGCGAAAGCGUGGGGAGCAAACAGG